GAAAUGUGGGGCCCAAGAAGGAGCUGCUAACUCCUCUCUCUAGCGGUUAAACUCCGUUUACAUUUCU
rnacentral:tRNA from 1 species